UAUGGGAAAGUGUAGGCUAUUUUGUGAGCAGUCAGUGGAAAAGUAUCAGCUUGUCCUUCACAUGUCAAGCCUGUCUGUGCUCCACAGGAAUCCAGCCAUACCUCGGAAAUUAAUCAAAACGUGAAGAGCUGAAGGUGAAGUUCCUGGAUGUAUUCUGGCUUGAAAACUACCAAAGUUUUUUGAAACACACAUAACCACAGAGCAGAGUUGGACAUUAUCUUCUCCCCGGAUGGAUUCUUCAAAUUGUAAAUUGAAACAGAGACCCAAGCCUCUGUUACUUUCUGGCACAAGUCACAGUGUAGAGAGCUCUAGGAGGGGAAGGCUGAAAUCUUCAGUGGCAACUUAUUUUUUUCUCUUUUCUCUAAAUAAAACAAAUACUUUGUA